GAUGAACGCUAGCUACAGGCUUAACACAUGCAAGUCGAGGGGUAACGAGAGGGAAGCUUGCUUUCCUUGUCGACGACCGGCGGAUGGGUGAGUAACGCGUAUACAACCUGCCCUCCAGUAAGGGAUAGCCUUUCGAAAGAAAGAAUAAUACCUUAUGUGAUCGUUUGAUGACAUCAGACGACGAUCAAAGAUUUAUCGCUGAAGGAUGGGGAUGCGUCCCAUUAGGCAGUAGGCGGGGUAACGGCCCACCUAACCUACGAUGGGUAGGGGUUCUGAGAGGAAGGUCCCCCACAUUGGAACUGAGACACGGUCCAAACUCCUACGGGAGGCAGCAGUGAGGAAUAUUGGUCAAUGGCCGUAAGGCUGAACCAGCCAAGUAGCGUGCAGGAUGACGGCCCUAUGGGUUGUAAACUGCUUUUAAACGGGGAUAAAGUGGGCCACGUGUGGUUUAUUGCAGGUACCGUUUGAAUAAGGACCGGCUAAUUCCGUGCCAGCCGCCGCCGUAA
rnacentral:rRNA from 1 species